AGCGAACGCUGGCGGUAGGCCUAACACAUGCAAGUCGAACGGCAGCACAGUAAGAGCUUGCUCUUACGGGUGGCGAGUGGCGGACGGGUGAGGAAUACAUCGGAAUCUACUUUUUCGUGGGGGAUAACGUAGGGAAACUUACGCUAAUACCGCAUACGACCUACGGGUGAAAGCAGGGGAUCUUCGGACCUUGCGCGAUUGAAUGAGCCGAUGUCGGAGUAGCUAGUUGGGGGGGUAAAGGCCCACCAAGGCGAGGAUCCGUAGCUGGUCUGAGAGGAUGAUAAGCCACACUGGAACGGGGACACGGUCCAGACUCCUACGGGAGGGAGCAGUGGGGAAUAUUGGACAGUGGGGGCAAGCCUGAUCCAGCCAUAACGAGUGGGUGGCGAAGGCCUUCGGGUUGUAAAGCCCUUUUGUUGGUAAAGAAAAGCAGCAGGUUAAUACCCCGCUGUUCUGACGGUACCCAAAGAAUAAGCACCGGCUAACUUCGUG
rnacentral:rRNA from 1 species